UUAUGGAGAGUUUGAUCCUGGCUCAGGAUGAACGCUGGCGGCGUGCCUAAUACAUGCAAGUCGAGCGAACAGAUGAGGAGCUUGCUCCUCUGACGUUAGCGGCGGACGGGUGAGUAACACGUGGGUAACCUACCUAUAAGACUGGGAUAACUCCGGGAAACCGGGGCUAAUACCGGAUAAUACAUGAAACCGCAUGGUUUC
rnacentral:rRNA from 1 species